rnacentral:misc_RNA from 1 species
UCUCCGUAGGUGAACCUGCGGAGGGAUCAUUAACACGUUCCAAACCAAUCUAUUAACCCAACUGCGAACUUCGUAUCCGCCUCACUGUCUCGCAAGGCGAGGUGGGGCUGAAGCCAGGAUGAAGGUGAGAGGCCGCCAGCUUGGUUGUCAAUGACAGCCAGCCAGCAGCAGCUCAUACGGCUUCAGUCUCGAUGGCUGCCCCCAUCAAAAUGGGAGCGGCCUGCCUCGCAGUGUGAGACGAGGCCAACCAUAUAUGCGGUCAGCGCGUGUCAUCGACGCGGCUCGUCAUAUCCACACGCCCGUUCUCGUGGUUGCGCGUUGUGCACCGAACAGCAUGCGCCCGAGAACGACUCUAUAAACUGUUGAUGUUGGGGCUUGUGGCUGCUUGUCAGCCCUGGCCUCUGUCUCAGCUCUCGUGUACCGAGCGGCUGACGACUAUUUACGAAUAAACAACAACUCUUAGCAAUGGAUAUCUUGGUUCUC